CUGGUCAGAUCAGUCCAUGGGGAGAGUCACUAUAACUAACAUGAGGUGAACCAAAACAUGCAGUUUUACAGAAACUCUGUUCAUCAACUAGUCAAAUGUUGCUAACCUGGUUCCAUCAAGGUGUACUGAUGAGGGGUCAAACGUUACAGACCAUGCUGACUUCCUGGUUCCAUCAAGGUGUACUGAUGAGGGGUCAAACGUUACAGACCAUGCUGACUUCCUGGUUCCAUCAAGGUGUACUGAUGAGGGGUCAAUCGUUGCUAACCUGGUUCCAUCAAGGUGUACUGAUGAGGGGUCAAACGUUACAGACCAUGCUGACUUCCUGGUUCCAUCAAGGUGUUCUGCUAUGAGGAGUCAAACAGAACAUCUCUCCUACUGUACAGUAGGUAACAGAACAUCUCUGCUACUGUAGUCUAGUGUCUGUGAGCUGCAGGUAACAGAACAUCUCUGCUACUGUAGCCUAGUGGCUGUACAGUAGGUAACAGAACAUCUCUGCUACUGUGGCCUAGUGUCUGUACAGUAGGUAACAGAACAUCUCUGCUACUGUAGCCUAGUGUCUGUACAGUAGGUAACAGAACAUCUCUGCUACUGUGGCCUAGUGUCUGAGCUGUAGGUAAGAAUGUUGAGGAGGAGGAGUGGUCCUAAUGAAACUAGAUGACAUCAUCAAUCAUCUGAAAGUCAAACCAGCCAGCACAUUCAACGUAGUGAUUAUAGUGGGGGCUGAAAUUAUAUUCAACAUAGUGAUUAUUCUGGAUAGUGGGGGCUGAAAUGAUUGACACCCUUGAUAAAGAUGAGCAAAAACAAUUCAUAUUCUGAGUUAUAUUUUAUGCUUAAACAUUUCCCAAAUUGUAUACUUAUACAAUUGUUCAAAGAGAUUGUUAAACAAAAUGUUCUCCUCAAAUGUUAGUAAAAAUUGACACCAGUUUUCAAUACCUCACCUUGCGAGGAUAACGGCGUGGCCUUUUUCUAAAAUGUUUUCUGAGAAGGUAAUAAACAUAGGAAGGGAUCUUAAACUAUCCCUCCAUACAGAAUCCUUUCAGAUCAUAGAUAUCCUGCUUCCUCUGGGGUUAUGGUCUGCCCUCUUCCAUUCAAAACACAGCUUUUCAAUGGGGUUCAAGUGCCUGGCCAAAGAGCUCUCAUGUUAUCCAACUGGUCUGACUGGCCAAAGAGCUCUAUUCUCAUGUUAUCUGACUGGCCAAAGAGCUCUAUUACCAUGUUAUCUGACUGGCCAAAGAGCUCUAUCAUGUUAUCCAACUUGUCUGGCUGGCCAAAGAGCUCUAUCAUCAUGUUAUCUGACUGGCCAAAGAGCUCUAUUAUCAUGUUAUCUGACUGGCCAAAGAGCUCUAUUCUCAUGUUAUAUCCAACUGGUCUGACUGGCCAAAGAGCUCUUAUCAUGUUAUAUCCAACUGGUCUGACUGGCCAAAGAGCUCUAUCAUGUUAUAUCUGACUGGCCAAAGAGCUCUAUUACCAUGUUAUCCAACUGGUCUGACUGGCCAAAGAGCUCUUAUCAUGUUAUCCAACUGGCCAAAGAGCUCUAUUAUCAUGUUAUCUGACUGGACAAAGAGCUCUAUUAUCAUGUUAUCCAACUGGUCUGACUGGUCAAAGAGCUCUAUCAUGUUAUCCAACUGGUCUGGCUGGCCAAAGAGCUCUAUUAUCAUGUUAUCUGACUGGCCAAAGAGCUCUAUUACCAUGUUGUCUGACUGGCCAAAGAGCUCUAUCAUGUUAUCUGACUGGCCAAAGAGCUCUAUUACCAUGUUAUCUGACUGGUCAAAGAGCUCUAUUCUCAUGUUAUAUCCAACUGGUCUGGCUGGCCAUAGCUCUAUUAUCAUGUUAUCUGACUGGCCAAAGAGCUCUAUCAUGUUAUCCAACUGGUCUGGCUGGCCAAAGAGCUCUAUUAUCAUGUUAUCCAACUGGUCUGACUGGCCAUAGAGCUCUAUCAUGUUAUCCAACUGGUCUGGCUGGCUGUUAAGGGAAUUUUUAUCAAUGAUGACUAAUUAUGUAUACAUUUCAAUCAGGACUGACUAAUCAGAAUACUAGUAUGUUACUGUAUAUGUACU
ensembl:lncRNA